CCUACGGGAGGCAGCAGUGGGGAAUAUUGCACAAUGGGCGCAAGCCUGAUGCAGCCAUGCCGCGUGUGUGAAGAAGGCCUUCGGGUUGUAAAGCACUUUCAGCGGGGAGGAAGGCGGUGAGGUUAAUAACCUCAUCGAUUGACGUUACCCGCAGAAGAAGCACCGGCUAACUCCGUGCCAGCAGCCGCGGUAAUACGGAGGGUGCAAGCGUUAAUCGGAAUUACUGGGCGUAAAGCGCACGCAGGCGGUCUGUCAAGUCGGAUGUGAAAUCCCCGGGCUCAACCUGGGAACUGCAUUCGAAACUGGCAGGCUAGAGUCUUGUAGAGGGGGGUAGAAUUCCAGGGGUAGCGGGGAAAUGCGUAGAGAUCUGGAGGAAUACCGGUGGCGAAGGCGGCCCCCUGGACAAAGACUGACGCUCAGGUGCGAAAGCGUGGGGAGCAAACAGGAUUAGAUACCCGGUAGUC
rnacentral:rRNA from 1 species